GAGGGUAUAGCUCAAGUGGUAGAGUACAUGCUUAGCAUGCAAAAGGUCCUGGGUUCAAUCCCCAGCACCUCCU
rnacentral:tRNA from 1 species